rnacentral:rRNA from 1 species
GUAGGUGGCAAGCGUUGUCCGGGAAUUAUUGGGGCGUAAAGCGCGCGCAGGCGGUUCUUUAAGUCUGAUGUGAAAGCCCACGGGCCCAACCGUGGGAGGGUCAUUGGAAACUGGAGAACUUGAGUACAGAAGAGGAAAGCGGAAUUCCACGUGUAGCGGUGAAAUGCGUAGAGAUGUGGAGGAACACCAGUGGCGAAGGCGGCUUUCUGGUCUGUAACUGACGCUGAGGCGCGAAAGCGUGGGGAGCAAACAGGAUUAGAUACCCUGGUAGUCCACGCCGUCAACGAUGAGUGCUAAGUGUUAGGGGGUUUCCGCCCCUUAGUGCUGCAGCUAACGCAUUAAGCACUCCGCCUGGGGAGUACGGCCGCAAAGGCUGA